CAGCUGUUCUCCCUGGGCCAGCAGCCGCAGCGACUGUGUUUGCACCGGGACUCAGGACCCGCCUCCCACCCUGGCAGCGCGGCCACCAUUCCGGACAGAACAGGUGCCCCAGAGAGGCAAGUAUUCAAGGGAUGCUUCACAAAACAGCUUCCUCAAUCCCCAACCCCCUGCCCCCCGCUCCCCGCCCCUAUUCUGCAGCUCUUGCGGAAGGCGCGACGAGCUGGCGGUGAAUGGUGAGGGAGUUUUUCCAGAAAGAAGUGGAGAACAGCGGUCCUCCUUUCGGGCCGUGGCGCCCCAUGCCAGGUAAAGUCCAGACCAGGGUCCCCCGCCCAGGUCAAGGGCUCGUGAUUGGAGGCGCAGCCGACUGGAGCUGAGAUUCGCGCGAGCUUAAUCAAGCCCGGGGCUGCUUCGGAGAAGGGGGCAGCCGGGCUUGGCAUCUGCCAAAGGUGCCGUGCCCGCCGCCCAAGUCACCACGAGGAGGGAAGGCGGCGAGGGAGCCUGGGGAGAGGGAGGCGGCUCUGCAGCCCGGCAGCUAAGCGCUCCUGCGAGGUGCUCAGCGCAAGUUGUGGGGACGUCUAGUCCUCGUACCCGCCCGCAGGGCGAUGCCAAAACCUGGCUUGCCAUUUGUCCGGCUCGGUCCGGCGCCGUCCCCGGAGCUGGGCAGUGCCACAGCCUCAAGAGCGCGCGCUCCGGACGCAACCUCCCCGAGCCCUCCCUCCGCCGCCUCAUCUCCCACGCGGCUCACCCCUCAGGUCCCCGAUGCAGCAGACCUGUGGCACGCAGAAAAACGGCGGGGUUAGGGGUUCCGGGCCUCCCCUCCCCGCCUUGCCAGCCACGAUCCGCCACAAGAUCCGAGCGCCUGGAGUCCCGGAUUCGCCUGUGGACGCCCCUACUGCCCAGUGCCGAAGGAGAAAACGUGAGAAGUGCCAGGAAGCAACUGUGUCAUCAUCUCAAUGCAAAGAGCUCUCUUCCUACCCUGUGCCACUGGCCUGUUACCCUUUUGGCCUGCAUUUUCAAUAACACGUAAAAAAAAACCCUGGAUGGAGACAAUGACCCUCUAAUUCAGUGUAAGAGCAGACCCAGCACUUCCCGGGAAGGCUUGUGACAGGACAGGAGCUCUGACAACAGCCCGGGAGAAGCCUUAGGGUGGUGUCACAGGCCGUGAGCCAGGCUCUGUACUAGGCGCUGGCAGGUAAUAACGAACGAGAGCCCCUGCUGUCACGGGGAGGAUUCUGACAGCAGGAUUCUCUCCCAGCUCUUUUAUGACACCUUGGAGUUGACCUAUUCCCACCUGAAAUGUAACCGAGGGCGCCCCGAGGAAGGCACGUUUUCCUAGGACUACCAGGGGCCCUAACCCCACGGGUUAACACCUUUUGCCUUCGUUAGCCUGGUUCUUAUAUUAAUAUGAGCUCAGGUCUUUGUAUCUGAUGUUCUAGCCCUUUCUCAACAGUGCUAAAGAGGCACAGGUUAUUUAUUAUUCCUCUUACUUUAAAAGAAAUAAAAGACAAGGCAUUCCUCCCUCUUCCUUGGUUAAAUGGGGAGGGGGGGGGGUCCUCAGCUCCCUGCAGUUUGGAGUCCAAGAGCUAGCA